rnacentral:tRNA from 1 species
UGUUCUGUGGCGGAGUUGGUUAACGCGUCCUGUCAAGGGAACUUGGGGAGACGUGGGUUCAAACCCCACCAGAACUG